rnacentral:rRNA from 1 species
AGAGUUUGAUCCUGGCUCAGGACGAACGCUGGCGGCGUGCUUAACACAUGCAAGUCGAACGGGAUCCAUGUUGUAGCAAUACUUCGGAAGAUCUAGUGGCGAACGGGUGAGGAACACGUGAGAAACCUGCCCCGGACUUCGGGAUAACAGUUGGAAACGAUUGCUAAUACCGAAUACCUCUGCGAAGUGGCAUCACUUUGCAAAGAAAGAAUUUCGGUCCGGGAGGGUCUCGCGGCCUAUCAGCUAGUUGGUGGGGUAACGGCCUACCAAGGCAUCGACGGGUAGCUGGUCUGAGAGGAUGAUCAGCCACACUGGGACUGAGACACGGCCCAGACUCCUACGGGAGGCAGCAGUGGGGAAUCUUGUGCAAUGGGCGAAAGCCUGACACAGCAACGCCGCGUGCGGGAAGAAGGCCUUCGGGUCGUAAACCGCUUUCAGCAGGAACGAAAAUGACGGUACCUGCAGAAGAAGGUGCGGCCAACUACGUGCCAGCAGCCGCGGUGACACGUAGGCACCAAGCGUUGUCCGGAUUUAUUGGGCGUAAAGAGCUCGUAGGCGGUUCAGCAAGUCGGGUGUGAAAACUCUGGGCUUAACCCAGAGCCUGCACUCGAAACUGCUGUGACUAGAGUUCGGUAGGGGAGCGGGGAAUUCCUGGUGUAGCGGUGAAAUGCGCAGAUAUCAGGAGGAACACCGGUGGCGAAGGCGCCGCUCUGGGCCGAAACUGACGCUGAGGAGCGAAAGCGUGGGUAGCAAACAGGAUUAGAUACCCUGGUAGUCCACGCCGUAAACGUUGGGCACUAGGUGUGGGUCUCUAACCAACGAGAUCCGCGCCGUCGCUAACGCAUUAAGUGCCCCGCCUGGGGAGUACGGUCGCAAGACUAAAACUCAAAGGAAUUGACGG